rnacentral:sRNA from 1 species
GCCAGGCGUGGUGGCGGGCGCCUGUAAUCCCAGCUACUCGGAGGCUGAGGCAGAGAAUUGCUUGAACCCGGGAGGUGGAGGUUGCAGUGAGCCGAGAUCGUGCCACUGCACUCUAGCCUGGGCAACAGAGAGAGACUCUGCCUCAA